AAUGAACGCUGGCGGCGUGCUUUACACAUGCAAGUCGAGCGAGGCGGGGAGCAAUCCCCCGUCGAGCGGCGAACGGGUGAGUAACGCGUGGAUAACCUGCCUCGAGGUGGGGGAUAACCCGGGGAAACUUGGACUAAUACCGCAUAAUACCUAUGGGUCAAAGGGGGCGCAAGCUCCCGCCCUGAGAGGGGUCCGCGUCCGAUUAGCUAGUUGGUGAGGUAAUGGCUCACCAAGGCGUCGAUCGGUAGCCGGCCUGAGAGGGUGAUUGGCCCCCCUGGAAAUGAGACACGGUCCAGACUCCUACGGGAGGCAGCAGUGGGGAAUUUUGCGCAAUGGGCGAAAGCCUGACGCAGCAACGCCGCGUGGAGGAUGAAGGUUUUUGGAUUGUAAACUCCUGUCAGCAGGGAAGAAGGCUUCCGACCUAAUACGUCGGGAGAUUGACUGUACCUGCAGAGGAAGCCCCGGCUAACUUUGUG
rnacentral:rRNA from 1 species